rnacentral:sRNA from 1 species
UUUUCCCCAUAAGAUGAAUAAAAACAACAAACUUUCCAGUUUCAUAGCCAUAAGAAAUGCUGCUUUCUCUGAAGUCGGCAUUGGGAUCUCGGCCAAUGCCAUCCUCCUUCUCUUCCAUGUCCUCACGUGCCUUCUCAAGUACAGGACCAAACCCAGUGACCUGAUCAUUGGUCACGUGGCCCUAAUCCAUAUCGUGUUGCUGCGUGAUAUGUUGUUGCCCAAGGGGUUCAUAGCUACAGAUAUUUCUGCGUCUCAGGAUUCGGGGGAUGAUAUCAAACAUAAGUCAGUUAUCUACAGGUACAGGUUGAUGAGAGGCCUCUCCAUUUCCACCACCUGCCUGUUGAGUGUCCUCCAGGCCAUCAACCUCACCCCCAGGAGCUCCUGUUUGGCAAUGUUCAGAGAUCCUCACAUCACAAACCGCAUUGCUUUCUCUUCCUGUGGGUCUUCCACAUAUCCAUUAGUGGAAGCUUCUUAGUCUCCACUCUUCCCUCCAAAAAUGUUGCCUCAAAUAGUGUUACAUUUGUCACUCCAUCCUGCUCUGCUGGGCCCCUGAGUUGCUUCCUUGGGCAGACAAUUUUCACACUGAUGACAUUUCAGGAUGUCUCCCUUGCAGGGCUCAUGGCCCCCUUCAGUGGAUACAUGGUGAUUCUCUUGUGCAGGCAUAACAGGCAGUCUCAGCAUCUUCAUAGUAUCAACCUUUCUCCAAAAGCACCCCCAGAUAAAAGGGCCAUCCACAGCAUUCUUUUGCUCGUGAGUUUCUUUGUG